rnacentral:lncRNA from 1 species
GGAUCACCAUAAUCAUGAUGCUUUUCAUGAACGGCGUCGUGGAUUCGGCGUGAACAAAGGCGGUUCGUGGAUUAGGAUCGUUGGCUCGUGGAUUCGAGUGGCGUCGUGGAUUCGGCAUGAUUGAAGCUUCGUGGAUUCGAAGUGGAGGCGUUCGUGGAUUCGAACGUGAGGGCGUGAACAACCCGGAGGGUAGCGCGAAGAUUCAUAGGAGGUUAAGAGAUGUAAAGUCCGUGGAGUCGGUAAUCACCUUGUAAUCUUUUCUCUUAGUGAAUUAUUUUUUUUGCGUGUUG